rnacentral:rRNA from 1 species
UACGGAGGGGGCUAGCGUUGUUCGGAAUUACUGGGCGUAAAGCGCACGUAGGCGGCUUUGCAAGUUAGAGGUGAAAGCUCAGGGCUUAACCCUGGAAUUGCCUUUAAAACUGCAUCGCUAGAAUUGUGGAGAGGUAAGUGGAAUUCCCGGUGUAGCGGUGAAAUGCGCAGAUAUCGGGAGGAACACCGGUGGCGAAGGCGGUUCUCUGGGCCUUACCUGACACUGAGGAGCGAAAGCGUGGGGAGCGAACAGG